rnacentral:rRNA from 1 species
GACCAACGCUGGCGGCGUGCUUAACACAUGCAAGUCGAACGGAAAGGCCCUGCUUUUGUGGGGUGCUCGAGUGGCGAACGGGUGAGUAACACGUGAGUAACCUGCCCUUGACUUUGGGAUAACUUCAGGAAACUGGGGCUAAUACCGGAUAGGAGCUCCUGCUGCAUGGUGGGGGUUGGAAAGUUUCGGCGGUUGGGGAUGGACUCGCGGCUUAUCAGCUUGUUGGUGGGGUAGUGGCUUACCAAGGCUUUGACGGGUAGCCGGCCUGAGAGGGUGACCGGCCACAUUGGGGCUGAGAUACGGCCCAGACUCCUACGGGAGGCAGCAGUGGGGAAUAUUGCACAAUGGGCGGAAGCCUGAUGCAGCAACGCCGCGUGCGGGAUGACGGCCUUCGGGUUGUAAACCGCUUUCGCCUGUGACGAAGCGUGAGUGACGGUAAUGGGUAAAGAAGCACCGGCUAACUACGUGCCAGCAGCCGCGGUGAUACGUAGGGUGCGAGCGUUGUCCGGAUUUAUUGGGCGUAAAGGGCUCGUAGGUGGUUGAUCGCGUCGGAAGUGUAAUCUUGGGGCUUAACCCUGAGCGUGCUUUCGAUACGGGUUGACUUGAGGAAGGUAGGGGAGAAUGGAAUUCCUGGUGGAGCGGUGGAAUGCGCAGAUAUCAGGAGGAACACCAGUGGCGAAGGCGGUUCUCUGGGCCUUUCCUGACGCUGAGGAGCGAAAGCGUGGGGAGCGAACAGGCUUAGAUACCCUGGUAGUCCACGCUGUAAACGGUGGGUACUAGGUGUGGGGUCCAUUCCACGGGUUCCGUGCCGUAGCUAACGCUUUAAGUACCCCGCCUGGGGAGUACGGCCGCAAGGCUAAAACUCAAAGGAAUUGACGGGGCCCCGCACAAGCGGCGGAGCAUGCGGAUUAAUUCGAUGCAACGCGUAGAACCUUACCUGGGUUUGACAUGGAUCGGGAGUGCUCAGAGAUGGGUGUGCCUCUUUUGGGGUCGGUUCACAGGUGGUGCAUGGCUGUCGUCAGCUCGUGUCGUGAGAUGUUGGGUUAAGUCCCGCAACGAGCGCAACCCUUGUUCACUGUUGCCAGCACGUUAUGGUGGGGACUCAGUGGAGACCGCCGGGGUCAACUCGGAGGAAGGUGGGGAUGACGUCAAGUCAUCAUGCCCCUUAUGUCCAGGGCUUCACGCAUGCUACAAUGGCUGGUACAGAGAGUGGCGAGCCUGUGAGGGUGAGCGAAUCUCGGAAAGUCGGUCUCAUUUCGGAUUGGGGUCUGCAACUCGACCUCACGAAGUGGGAUUGGCUUGUCCUCCAAAUCAGCUCCGCUGCGGUGGUUNNNUUCCC